UCCAGCCUGUCACCUCCACAGCCAAAAGCGCACAGAUGUCCAACUAAAAUGUCCAGUCCGGAGUCAGUUCAGAUGUAACUGCCUGUCCAGGAGAAGGAGGGAGCAAGGAAGAUGAGGUGAAACAUGGAAAGAUCAACAGAUGGAGAGAGGAAAAGGAGAGAAACACAGAACUGCAGGCUUUCACUCAGAUCCGAUGCAGUUUGAUUGGAAAAGCAGUCUGUCCUGUGACCAGAAGAUCCCAAGUGUGAUCAUUGUUCCCACAAGAGCUUCACCCUGUACUGAAGUGAACUUGAGAGAAGCUCUGGAUCUCUGCCAGCUGCAGGGAGAGUUGAUGCUGACAGCAGACCUGCAGGCCUUCAGAUAAGAAGCAAAACUUCCACCUCAAGAAGUCAAACACAGCACCUCUGUAGUACAGUUCAGCUGGUGUCCUUGCAAAAUGAACAUAUGGGCUCUUUUUCAGUAUAAAACAUCACACCUGAAACUAGGCGUCAUAUGAAGAGUGAGUAUCUGUUGGUUUCAAACAGAGGAAAAAAAGAAAAGAGGGUUUAAACACACAACA